rnacentral:rRNA from 1 species
UACGUAGGGGGCAAGCGUUGUCCGGAAUCAUUGGGCGUAAAGAGCGUGUAGGCGGUCCGGUAAGUCGGCUGUGAAAGUCCAGGGCUCAACCCUGGGAUGCCGGUCGAUACUGCCGGACUAGAGUUCGGACGAGGCGAGUGGAAUUCCCGGUGUAGCGGUGGAAUGCGCAGAUAUCAGGAGGAACACCAAUAGCGAAGGCAGCUCGCUGGGACGUUACUGACACUGAGGCGCGAAA